rnacentral:rRNA from 1 species
GCCUACGGGAGGCAGCAGUGGGGAAUUUUGGACAAUGGGGGAAACCCUGAUCCAGCCAUGCCGCGUGCGGGAAGAAGGCCUUCGGGUUGUAAACCGCUUUUAGCCGGGACGAAAGCGCCACGGAUAACACCCGUGGCGGUUGACGGUACCGGCGGAAUAAGCACCGGCUAACUACGUGCCAGCAGCCGCGGUAAUACGUAGGGUGCGAGCGUUAAUCGGAAUUACUGGGCGUAAAGCGUGCGCAGGCGGUGCGUUGUGUCGGUGGUGAAAUCCCCGGGCUUAACCUGGGAACUGCCAUCGAAACUGGCGUACUAGAGUGUGGCAGAGGGGGGUGGAAUUCCGCGUGUAGCAGUGAAAUGCGUAGAUAUGCGGAGGAACACCGAUGGCGAAGGCAGCCCCCUGGGCUAACACUGACGCUCAUGCACGAAAGCGUGGGGAGCAAACAGGAUUAGAUACCCGUGUAGUC